rnacentral:rRNA from 1 species
UGGCGGAUUGCUCUGUCUGGUUAAUUCCGGUAACGAACGAGACCUCAGCCAUCUAAAUAGCUGUCGCUAAUUCGUUAGCGCUCGCUCGCGAGUUCAGCUUCUUAGAGGGACAAUCUGCGUCAGCAGAUGGAGGAUUGAGGCCAUAACA